rnacentral:rRNA from 1 species
UACGAAGGGUGCAAGCGUUACUCGGAAUCACUGGGCGUAAAGCGUGCGUAGGCGGUUCGUUAAGUCUGCUGUGAAAGCCCUGGGCUCAACCUGGGAACUGCAGUGGAUACUGGCGGACUAGAGUGUGAUAGAGGAUGGUGGAAUUCCCGGUGUAGCGGUGAAAUGCGUAGAGAUCGGGGGGAACACCAGUGGCGAAGGCGGCCAUCUGGAUCAACACUGACGCUGAGGCACGAAAGCGUGGGGAGCAAACAGG